rfam:Sphingomonas sp. 67-36 SCNpilot_cont_300_bf_scaffold_234, whole genome shotgun sequence.
CGCAUAUUUUGCUCAGGCGGAGCUCGACCGCCCGUUUCGCAAAUGAUCGCCUUCAUCGAUGAGCAUCGUGAGGCCUAUGGGGUCGAGCCGAUCUGCAGGGUUCUGCCGAUCGCCCCA